GAGUUCAAGAGUACGUGAAACUGCUUAGAGGUUAAGCCCGAUGAACCUGAAUAUCCGUUAUGGAAAAUUCAUCACUAAUACUAUGAUAUUUAUAAUAUUAUAGAAAUGGUGUGCAAUUUUUCCAUAUAAGGACAUUGUAAUCUGUUAAUGUAUUAAAUAUUUAUUAAAAGAUCUUAUACUUAAGUUUAUUCAAAUUAGUUAUUUUCGGAUUUCUAACAUAGAAUAAAUGUAUUUGAUUUAAUAAAUCAUUGACAGAUUUUAUUAUAAUAUAGUGCUCAAAUUUUGAACGAAAUUUUACAAUAAUAUGAUAAUUCAAUUUGUUAUAUUUAUUGUAUGCGCUUAUAUGAUUAACAAUGCGAUAGAUUCAGGAUACCUUCGGGACCCGUCUUGAAACACGGACCAAGGAGUCUAACAUAUGUGCAAGUCAUUGGGUAUUUUUAAUAAAACCCAAUGGCAUAAUUAACUUAACUGUUUUUUAAAUGGGAUUAGUUUAUAUUUUAUUAUGAAAUAUUAAUUCAAUCCCGGGGCGUUCUAUAUAGUUAUGCAUAAUGAUAUUUAUAUUAUUUAUGUCUCUAACU
rnacentral:rRNA from 1 species